rnacentral:ncRNA from 11 species
UUUUAUGAUGAGAAGAAAUAUUUACACAGACCUGUACUGAUUCCUGUUUUGAACCAGGACUAUGCAGAUAACCGUAUUAUUGCCUUUUUUUUCUGAUA